UACAGAGGUCUCGAGCGUUGUUCGGAUUUACUGGGCGUAAAGGGAGCGUAGGCGGUUUGGUGUGUCGAAUGUGAAAGCCCGCAACUCAACUGCGGAAUGGCAUUCGAAACUACCAGGCUAGAGUACUGGAGAGGAGAGCGGAAUUCUUGGUGUAGCGGUGAAAUGCGUAGAUAUCAAGAGGAACACCGGUGGCGAAGGCGGCUCUCUGGACAGAUACUGACGCUGAGGCUCUAAAGUUAGGGGAGCAAACAGGAUUAGAUACCCUGGUAGUCCUAACUGUAAACGGUGUACACUUGGUGUGCGAGGAAUUGUCCCUUUGCGCGCCGCAGCUAACGCGUUAAGUGUACCGCCUGGGGAGUACGGUCGCAAGAUUAAA
rnacentral:rRNA from 1 species